rnacentral:rRNA from 1 species
CACAAGCGGUGGAUGAUGUGGUUUAAUUCGAUGCAACGCGAAAACUUACCCACCUUGACAUGUACGGAAUCCUUUAGAGAUAGAGGAGUGCUCGAAAGAGAACCGUAACACAGGUGCUGCAUGGCUGUCGUCAGCUCGUGUCGUGAGAUGUUGGGUUAAGUCCCCGCAACGAGCGCAACCCUUGUCAUUAGUUGCUACAUUCAGUUGGGCACUCUAAUGAGACUGCCGGUGACAAACCGGAGGAAGUGGGGAUGACGUCAAGUCCUCAUGGCCCUUAUAGGUGGGGCUACACACGUCAUACAAUGGAUGGUACAAAGGGUCGCCAACCCGCGAGGGGGAGCCAAUCCCAUAAAGCCAUUCGUAGUCCGGAUCGCAGUCUGCAACUCGACUGCGUGAAGUCGGAAUCGCUAGUAAUCGUGGAUCAGAAUGUCACGGUGAAUACGUUCCCGGGUCUU